rnacentral:rRNA from 1 species
GACGAACGCUGGCGGCGUGCCUAAUACAUGCAAGUAGGACGCAGUUGCGAACGGGUGAGUAACGCGUAGGUUAAUGCCUAUUAGAGGGGGAUAACUACUGGAAACGAUAGCUAAUACCGCAUACUAGUAGAUGGACCUGCGUUGUAUUAGCUAGUAGGUAGGGUAAUGGCCUACCUAGGUGACGAAACAUAGCCUAACGGGAGGGGGGGUGGGCAAAACUGGGAACUAGGAACGGGCCCAGAUUCUACGGGAGGCAGCAGGAGGGAAUCUUGGGCAAUGGGGGGAACCCUGAACGGAGAAAGCCGGGUGGGGGAAGAAGGGUUUCGGAUCGUAAAGCUCUGUUGUUAAGGAAGCGGUACUUAACCAGAAAGCGACGGCUAACUACGUGCCAGCAGCCGCGGUAAUAC